UGCUUCCUGGGGUGUUCGCCAGCACGUGGAUGUCCCUGAGCCGAUGCUUUUUUAUUAGGGUCCUACUUGUGUGCCAGUGUGCAUGCCCAGAAUUUGCCGGGAAGCCUGCGGUACAUAACUUAGCACCCGCCUUGAACCAAUGGGUUCAAGGGCUAACACCGAGCAGCGGCACCUUGGGAAGUCU
rnacentral:other from 1 species